rnacentral:tRNA from 1 species
GCUCUUCUAGUAUAUCCAUUACAAUUGACUUCCAAUCUUUAGAGUCUGGCCAAACCCCAGAGAAGAGCA